GGGCUCUCACUUCAGCAACACAUAUACUAAAAUUGGAACAACACAUAGAAAAUUAGCAGGGCAUCUGCUGAAGGAUGACGAGCAAAUUUGUGCAGUGUUCCAUAUAUUU